UCAAACUUGGUCAUUUAGAGGAAGUAAAAGUCGUAACAAGGUUUCCGUAGGUGAACCUGCGGAAGGAUCAUUCAUAAAUAAGUGUUUAUGGCACUUUAAAAAAUCCAUACCCACCUUGUGUGCAAUGUCAAAGCUCCUAAAUCCCCCUCCAUAAUAAGAGGGAAAAGGGGUUUUAUUAUUUUCACUUGUUAGAGAAUUAUUUUUGUCUUACAUUCUUUAGAGUAAAUAAGCUCUGAAAUACAACUUUCAACAACGGAUCUCUUGGCUCUCGCAUCGAUGAAGAACGCAGC
rnacentral:misc_RNA from 1 species